GGGGCCGACCAGGUUUCGACCGAGCAUGUGACGCUCGGUGUCGCGUGUCGUGGAGCAUGCCGGCCACGUAAAAAGCAUGCAAAAAAAUAGUUGCUAAUAACAACUACGCUCUCGCGGCCUAACUAAGGCUGCACGUCCCCGAGAGGUCGGCCCGUGCCGAUCGGUGACGAAAACAACGGGCUGGCGCCUUGAGGGUUCGACCGAGUAGGGGCGCGAGGAGUCAUCGGGCGAUAGGAACGAGUCAAGCCUGCCGAGGGCGUGACCGGACUGAACGCAAAUCAUCGGAUACGCACGUAGAAGCGCCGCGCCGACUGUUCGACACGGGGGUUCGAUUCCCCCCGGCUCCAUUC
rnacentral:tmRNA from 1 species